CCAACAUUCACCUGUUCUCCUCCAGCCUCCAUAAGCUGAGGGACACCAGCAAGCAGUUCCAUGUGGCUGGUAUCACCUAUGACCAGUUUUAAGAGCCUCUGAAAUUCACCCUUGACUCUCCUGUAUGGUCCAUCACCGUCCCGAUCACACAGUCACCACAUGGCCAAGGGUUGUGUUCCCAUCAAGGGAAAAUGAAGACCAGGACUUGUCUGAGAGAGCCUGCAAAAAUAGCAGCUGCAACUAAAGCGUUUUAGAGACCGGGGACAAGCAUGAGUGUAGGACCGGACCCAGAUCAAGGCCAGCAGCACCACAGGUUGUAGGGAGAACCCAGAGAAGCCAUGAGCUCUGGCCCCUCACUUCAGCCUGCACGAGCCUGCAGGAAGCAAAGUGGGUCCCAUGGUCUGCCUGCUCAAAACCCUUCCAGGGGUCCCAGAGCUCUUACAAUAAAGACCUAAACCCUGGAUGGGCUGGCUCUGCCCCUCCA
ensembl:lncRNA